rnacentral:tRNA from 1 species
GGGGCUGUAGCUCAGUGGCAGAGCAUGUUCUUGGCAUGUGCAAGACCCUGGGCUCAAAUCCUAGCACCA